rnacentral:rRNA from 1 species
AUUGAACGCUGGCGGCAGGCCUAACACAUGCAAGUCGAGCGGAUGAAGGGAGCUUGCUCCUGGAUUCAGCGGCGGACGGGUGAGUAAUGCCUAGGAAUCUGCCUGGUAGUGGGGGAUAACGUCCGGAAACGGGCGCUAAUACCGCAUACGUCCUGAGGGAGCAAGUGGGGGAUCUUCGGACCUCACGCUAUCAGAUGAGCCUAGGUCGGAUUAGCUAGUUGGUGGGGUAAAGGCCUACCAAGGCGACGAUCCGUAACUUGUCUGAGAGGAUGAUCAGUCACACGGGAACUGAGACAGGGACCAGACUCCUACGGGAGGCCACAGUGGGGAAUAUUGGACAAUGGGCGAAAGCCUGAUCCAGCCAUGCCGCGUGUGUGAAGAAGGUCUUCGGAUUGUAGAGCACUUUAAGUUGGGAGGAAGGGCAGUAAGUUAAUACCUUGCUGUUUUGACGUUACCAGCAGAAUAAGCACCGGCUAACUUCGUG